rnacentral:rRNA from 1 species
CAAUAGCGUAUAUUAAAGUUGUUGCAGUUAGAACGCUCGUAGUCGGAUUUCGGGUCGGGCCGACCGGUCUGCCGAUGGGUACGCACUGGUCGGCGCGUCCUUCCUCUCGGAGACUGUUCCUACUCUUAACUGAGCGGGAGCAGGAUACGGGACUUUUACUUUGAAAAAAUCAGAGUGUUUCAAGCAGGCAGCUCGCUCUUGCAUGGAUUAGCAUGGGAUAAUGAAAUAGGACUUUGGUGCUAUUUUGUUGGUUUCGAACACCGAAGUAAUGAUGAGAAGGGACAGUCAGGGGCACUCGUAUUCCGCCGAGAGAGGUGAAAUUCUCAGACCAGCGGAAGACGAACCACUGCGAAAACAUCUGCCAAGGAUGUUUUCAUUGA